AAAGUUUAAAAAAGAAAAUCAAGGUUCAUUAAAUAAAUGAUAGCAAAGCUUAACAAUUCUUUUAAGCUCGGUUCGGGGUGGUUGUCAAUUUUCAGUUCUUAGUUUUUAAAUUGAAAUUUGAAAAUAAAACGUGUACUAAGUUUUUAUUGAAUUUCAAAAAACCACACAAUAUGAUUUUAUGAUUAUGGUUUUUAGUUUAAAAACACGUAACUUCAUUCCAAUUCUGCCCCUGUUGACCCAACCAACUCACCAUUAAUUAAAGUUGAAGGUGGGCCCGUGGAUGUUGAGUUGGGUGGGGCGGGUUUGUGCACAAACGGUC
rnacentral:lncRNA from 1 species